rnacentral:rRNA from 1 species
ACACAGCACUGUGCAAACACGAAAGUGGACGUAUACGGUGUGACGCCUGCCCGGUGCCGGAAGGUUAAAUGAUGGGGUUAUCUUCGGAGAAGCUCUUGAUUGAAGCCCCGGUAAACGGCGGCCGUAACAAUAACGGUCCUAAGGUAGCGAAAUUCCUUGUCGGGUAAGUUCCGACCUGCACGAAUGGUGUAACGACUUGGGCACUGUCUCGGCCAUGAGCUCGGUGAAAUUGUGGUAUCGGUGAUGACGCCGAUUACCCGCAGCGGGACGAAAAGACCCCGUGAACCUUUACUACAACUUUACAUUGGCUUUAGCUGUCGCAUGUGUAGGAUAGGCGGGAGACUUUGAAGCGGCGUCGCCAGGCGUUGUGGAGUCACCCUUGAAAUACCGCCCUUGCCACAGGUGAAGUCUAACCCUUCCGGGGGAACAGUGUAUGGUGGGUAGUUUGACUGGGGCGGUCGCCUCCUAAAGAGUAACGGAGGCUCCCAAAGGUACCCUCAGCACGGAUGGCAAUCGUGCGUAGAGUGUAAAAGCAUAAGGGUGCUUGACUGCGAGACAUACAGGUCGAGCAGGCACGAAAGUGGGGUUUAGUGAUCCGGUGGCACCGCAUGGAAGGGCCAUCGCUCAAAGGAUAAAAGGUACUCCGGGGAUAACAGGCUGAUACCGCCCAAGAGUUCACAUCGACGGCGGUGUUUGGCACCUCGAUGUCGGCUCAUCACAUCCUGGGGCUGAAGCCGGUCCCAAGGGUAUGGCUGUUCGCCAUUUAAAGUGGUACGCGAGCUGGGUUUAGAACGUCGUGAGACAGUUCGGUCCCUAUCUGCCGUGGGCGUUGGAGAAUUGAGGGAAGCUGCUCCUAGUACGAGAGGACCGGAGUGGACGAACCCCUGGUGUUCCGGUUGUGUCGCCAGACGCAUUGCCGGGUAGCUACGUUCGGAAGGGAUAACCGCUGAAAGCAUCUAAGCGGGAAGCCCCUCCCAAGAUAAGUUCUCCCUGACCCCUUGAGGGUCCUGAAGGGCCGUAGAAGACUACUACGUUGAUAGGCUGGGUGUGGAAGCGUUGUGAGGCGUUGAGCUAACCAGUACUAAUUGCCCGUGAGGCUUGACC